UCUUAAAAGUUUCUUCCAUUUGUACCCUUAAAAACUGGCAUGACUGAAAGAAUAAUCAAAUAGUGAUACAUAGUAUGCUACGUGUACCUCAUGCUGAUGUAUAGAGUAAUUUUGAACUGCAAAAAUGGAUGAAAAUUUGACAGA
rfam:Gossypium hirsutum cultivar TM-1 unplaced genomic scaffold scaffold1231.1, whole genome shotgun sequence